rnacentral:lncRNA from 1 species
CGAUGUAGAGUAGUAACAGCGCACAGCGCAUGCUCGAGAUCGCGGCCCAUUCUUCUUCCCUGGCUUUCCGCAAUCGCUUGAGAUUCUACGGCACCGCACAAGAUCGUGGCGAAGCCCUAGCAUCCAUCCGGCCAGCGCCGUCGCAACGACGACAUACUUGGAUUCAUGGAACGAGUUUGUACGUGGAGCUCUUCCGCGCGGCGCCGCAUAUCCAAAAUUGUAAGGCGCCAUUACACCAUUCCACUUUCCGUUCAACAAUGCUUGAUUCCUCCUAUGUAGACAUCGAUCUAAUCCAGUACAUAUUGCCUACGUAUCCAGAUUUAAAGUAAUGUAGAUGGGCUCAUGGAAACGAUGUUGAUACAAGUAAAGUUUCAGGAUAUGAACAUACAUGGCAACAUCAGAAUCAGAAUGGAACGGGCAGGAGACAACACUAUCUUCUUUCUUGUUGGAUUUCUGUAAGGAAGACCACGGCUUAAAAUGAGUAGGUGUUCAUCUGACUAACUCAUGUUAGUGUUGUUGUGUAUGGUUGGAUCCUUUUCCUAUUCUAUAAUUCUGAACUACACUUACCACACAACCGUGAUUGAUAAACUAUUAAAUCCCGACUGUUGAUUUUUCAAAAAUAAUAGCCCAUUUGCCAUUUGCUACUCACACCGUUCGACCAGACUUAUGUUUGACGUUUGUUCUCCAGCCUGAGGAUAUACCAUAUAUGUAUAUGGCAUCAUCUGACUCCAAGAUUUUCCGUUGCCGGUCCACACACAACCACGUCAAGAGGGUCAGAGGUUGAGUCAUCGAGAGCAGACCAUACCGUACGUGUUCACUGGCUACUAUCAGGACAUAGUUACACAAGGUAUGUCUAUAUGUUUGAUAUGAAUAAUCUUUUUGAUGCACUUCAAAGUGUUUAUUAGUAAGUUUUAAUGUAUACGUUCUUUCCACAAACUCCAAACCGCCACGAGGAAGACCUCCAUGAACAUCUUACGGGGUGUGCCAUCUUCUGAUCUUAGGUUUAGGGUGCCUGCUAGCAAGGUACAGCUCAUAGAUACCAUUGUUGCACCUCUAGUUGACCCCUCCUAAGUUGUAACCUCCCAACCAAUCCUCCCCACUCACACCACCCCCACCCCACUUGUGUACAUGUAAAAUGUGUGUUUCAUAUAUACAUGCAGUAGGAGCUUUUCCUACCGAUUUACACUAAAAAAGAUUUAAUGUAUACUCCCUCCGUCCGGAAAUACUUGUCAUAGAAAUGGAUGUAUUUAUAUGUAUUUUAGUUCUACAUACAUCCAUCUUUAUUCAUUUGUGUGACAAGUAAUUUCGGACGAAGGGAGUACAUGUAUACAUUGUUAAUUACUUUGUUAGUCAUAUUAGGCUGGUCACAAUGGGGUGGAACUUAGCAGGCACAUCACACACUCCAAUACGAGUUUGCUUAUGUGGCACAUAUUUAAUGAAGAGAGAGGUGUUUGUGGUAACUAGCUAAGGCUGGUCACAAUGGAGAGUAACAUAAGGUAGUAACCUACACACUUUUCUAGACUAUGUUCCUACCUCCACAAUGGGGAGUAACAUGUAUGUAUUGUCAUGCAACGAUGCAUUUAUUAGGCUAUAGACUCAUUGUUUCUUGGAGUGUGUGAUGUUCCGGUAACUUAGCUAGUUAUCACAAGCACCUCUCUCUUCAUUAAAUACGUGCCACAUAAGCAAACUCGUAUUGGAGUGUGUGAUGUUCCUGCUAAGUUCCACCCCAUUGUGACCAGCCUAAGUUACCGGAACAUCACACACUCCAAGAAACAAUGAGUCUAUAGCCUAAUAAAUGCAUCGUUGCAUGACAAUACAUACAUGUUACUCCCCAUUGUGGAGGUAGGAACAUAGUCUAGCAAAGUGUGUAGGUUACUACCUUAUGUUACUCCCCAUUGUGACCAGCCUUAAGGGCCUCGGGUUGUAGUUUCGUCCCGGGCCCCUAAAAUCACAGGACCGGUCCUGGUUUUACUGUUCACAUCUGCUGCAUUUGAGCUCAGUACUAGAAGCAUGCUUUCGGAAGCAACACAUCUGUUUAGCAUGAAGCCAAACACAAACUAAGUGAAAGACGUUUUGAGAACUCGGCAACAACCGGUGGCAGCAUAAAUAUACACUCGGGGCGCACCUAAAUUCUCGAUCAUCUUGGUAGAGAUCGAAAGUGGAUGCGUAGUUGACAGAUCAUACACAUACAUGCAUUAUUUGGUUUGUAACUUUUGCUACAAAUUCUAUAUUGGAGAUAAACUAACAACGGAGAUGCUGAGUAGCUGGGCGGCACAGGGACGGGGAUAUGUGCCGCAGCGGCAGGGCUGACCACAAUUGGUGGAGAGCCCCAAUGCUCCUCGAGCGCAGUGCGGAUGAUUGUGACAUCCAAUGCGACACCCACACACUGCGUUUCAGUUCAUAUCAUUUGUUCCCUGUUUAGCGACGAUACUUAUUUUCAAAAAAAGAUAUCUCAAGAAUCUGCGCCUCCAUUGGGAUAUCCCAAGAAUCUGAAACAUAUGGAAAGAAAGAAACAGACGGAUUUUCGAGAACACGAGGGCCUCUCAUGUGGAGGUGGCCAGGAUGAUCCUAGAUUAUCAUAAUUAAUGUAUCAAAAUUUUGCUCACCGCGAGUAAUUCUCAUAGGCCUUUGUUGUUCCUGUCUGCAAAUGGAUUUCCAGUCAUUGUACUCCCUCCGUCCAGGUGUAUAGGGCAUGCGCGUUGUUCUAGGUCGUUAAUUUAACAUGUGAGGGUGUAGUUUCUGAAUAUUUAAUUUUUAUCACAUAUAAUAUAUAUUUAGCUAGUUAAAUUGACAACCUAGAACUACGCGCAUGCCUUAUACACUUGGACGGAGGUAGUAUACUUUUUUCCCUACUUUAAUGAUAUAAGCAGAGUGAUUGUACAACUUUUCCCCCUACUUUAAUGAUAUAAGCAGAGGUCUUGUUUCUGUAAAAAAUUGUUUGUUAUUUUCUCCUCAAACUAUAAUGUCUACAGUGAGUAUGAAUUCUGGUAAUAGAAAUUUGCGCGAUGGCCUUUUUAAAUAAGGAAAAGAGCUGUCGAUUGUUGUUUUGUGCAAACUAGGGGAGCGUUCGGACUCGCUCCGCUCCGCAACUCCACGCUGGAGCAGAGUGGCAUGUAGUGUCAAUCUACGGAGCUUCUGAAAGCCUGCCUCACGCGCUCUGUUCCACGGAGAGCAUCCGAACAGCCCCUAGGAUUCCAACACAAAGCAUGGUUCUUGUAUGCUAUUUGUUUUAAAGUAUGGUUCAUGUAUGUUCUUGUCUCUAACCUUCGAGCUCCUCCGCCUCCUUGGCCAUGCAGUCGAGUGCCUCCCAGCCGGCUUUCGGUACGACCUCGCCGCCUGCUUCCCCAGCUACGACCGGUCAGCUUGCCGCGGCGGUGCUCGCCCUUCGCAGGGCAUGUGUGGCCAUCUGAGGCCACCGCCGCAAGCCCGCGGCGACGACAGCCACUCUGGCACCACUAGCGUCCGCUCCGACCUCGCUGCCCGCUGCCGCAACACCGACGCUUGGCUUGCCCCGGCGGCCCCUGCUCAGCCCACGAAGACGGCGGCCACUACGACACAACCAGCGACUCAUCUGACCUCGCUGCCCGUUGACCCAGCUCCGGCCACUCAGCUCACCGCGGCUGUCCUCGCCCCGGCCGUCCAAGGCCACCUCCGCAAGCCCACGACAACGACGGCCACGUCGGCAUCAUCAGCCAUCGGCGCCUCCGCAUCCGGCUUGCUGUUGCCGCCCCCAGCGUCGGGCUUGGGCCCAACGCCUCCUUUGGUUCUUGGCUCGGGCGGCCACAGCCUGUGUCAUGGUCCCCGUUGGAAGUCGACGGCAACGACGACACCGAUGAAGAAGAGUUGGCCCCUACGAUGCCGCUUGCUAUUAAGGCAUCGGCCCCGCUCGUCCUCACCGCCGCCCAGCUGGGUGUGGAAUGUGUGACAGAGGUGUGCGGGGGGAUGGCAAGAGGUGUUGCCCCGGCGUGGUCCGUGUAGCCCAAUGUUGCCAGCCCCGACAAUGGCUCCCCGUCCCAUACCUGCUUGGAUGCAUGGCCGGUGUUGUAGGUGCCUCAUUCGUGGGCACCAUGCGCUGAGUGUAGAGACCCGUUUCGGUGCUCCCGUUGCUUGGAGAACGAUCAUCAUGCGCGUGGAUGUCGAAAUCCAUGGCGUCCUCUAUGCUCGUUGUCAUGCCUUGCCGUGGAGCCAAUUCUGGAUACUGUGCAUUGUCCCACUCCAGUUUCAUGUGAGGGUCCGAUGAAAUCCACGCCACCAUCCAAUGCGUUUCGUCAUGGGUCUUGGGCGCUUGUUGUCUCUGCUUCAGUUGACUCAGCAAUCCAACCCGAUGUGCGGUUUGCUUUGGUUGAUCAUACCAUGCAGCUGGAGGAUUGGAUGGUGCGGGUUGAGAGCUUUCUAGAGAGGGUGGAGGCGGCUCUGGACAGGCUCUCCUUUGGGACAGCUAUGUUGUCGACCACUCUGACGUCAUGCCCUCCUGGUGUGGCCGGUGUUGCCUCCACGGAUGAAAGGGAGCCAAGAGCUAUAUGGAUGUUUCUCUCCUCGUGUCGAGGGCAUUGCGUCGCCAAUGUCGACCUUGUCUCCUGUGCUGCCUACCAUUGAGGCCGAGCCCAUCGGCGUGCUCGAGGCUCCGAUUUGACAGAUCAUGCCUGACCUACAGGAGAUAUGUCUAAGACCUGUUUUGCCUUUGGCUAAGGACGCUUGGAGGUGGACUCAUUAGUGACCUCGUGUGAGGGGCAUGCUUCGCCUAUGUCAUGUGAACAAGGGGAGGUGCCUAAGUCAAUUGUGUCUGUGGUUUCUGCGGGCGACGUUGUCGUCUUAGUUGUUUUCGUGGCUGAUGAUGUUAAUUCAGAUGGUAUUUGGCGCCUGGCCCUUUGGAUCCUAGCCAGAAAAUUGAUGUCAAGGAGUGUGGUGACUUGGACGUUGCAAUCCCUUGCUCGCUUAAGUCCGUUGGGUGUCAUGCAUCAACCAUCCUACCUCUCCAUGUCAUGGAGCACAGAGUUUUGGAAGUUGUUGCCCUUCCCUCAUCUACGACCAUCGAGCAUGUGAUGCUUGUGACUGGCAUGAUCAUUGAGCCAAGUGUGUUGGCACCUACUUCAAAUCCAAAUGCUCUCUUCGCGAAGGAACUUUGUGAGUUGCUGGCCAGUGUGGAGGUUGCUAGAUCUGGUUUGGGCAGGUCGAUUGUUUGCCUCUUGACGGGCACGCCAGUAAGAGGCAAACAAAAGAAGAUAGGCAAAAGAAAGGGUGACGCCACAAGCAAGGCGUCUUUCGGUGUUUGAUGGAUGACCUUCACUCUCUUGGCCCGUCCUUUUGGUUGGGUUCUCGUUGUGGUUCGAGAGGUGCCUGUUGUCUUGUGUCGAGGUGUCCUUAUCGGUGUCGUUGUUGCCGUCGGGGUUCAUGGAGGCUGUGUAUUUGGAGAGUACGACGGGGGUCGCAUGUGUGGUUGUAGGUUUUAUUACCGUGUGAGUAGUUAGUCCGUGCUCCGUUUGUAUUGGUUUUUGCCCGAUUUUCUGUAAAUUAACUGGGCAAUUCUUUUCUUCUUAAUUAGUCGAUUAGGCAAAACUUUUGUCUCUGUUUUGAAAAACAAAUUCAGACUUUUGCCCUAACAUUAUUAAUAAAGUAAUCAUCACGUCCAUAUAACAAGCAAGUGUCGCACCGAAAAUAAAAAAAGCCUGCUAGGCCUCAGCACAAAAAUGUCAAAAAAGGGAACAAAAGACCACCAAGUGUUCGGUACCUGAGGAGAUUUGUGGCGAAGCAAGAUGGCGGGCUGCCGCAGUCAAGGUGUCAACAAUGUGGCCAAGCGGUUCAUGGUCCUGCUGCCUAGAAAGCGUGGGCGAGUGUUGUAAAAACUAGAUGAUGCCCCGACGCGUUGCUGCAGGAAACUUGCUAAAAAAAUCAUGAGUUACUAAAAAACAUCUAUAACUUAUGGACAGCGAAUGUAAGCUUAUACAAAUGAAAAUGAAAUAUAAAGUAUAUAAAAAAUAAAAAAAUGCAGUAAAAAGAAUGUCAUUUUUAACAUAAAUGUGAAUGUAAACUACAUAUGUAUGAUACAUGCGACUAACACUUCUAUUGUCAAUUCAAAAUCUAAUGCAAAAAUGAACUUAAGAGUAACAUGUAUGAAUUAAUGAUGUGAUGCUUGCAUGCAUAGAAUAAUAAAAAAACAAUGUAAUUUAUAGCUUACAUGCAUGAUUUAUUUACGUGGCAUACUUGCAUGUCGAGGAAAAAUAGCUAGUGGGUUCUAGCUAUUUAAAAAUAAAAGAUGUAGACUAUUUGAAGUUUGAGUCAAAAGCCCGCCUAAAAAAACCCGCUCUAUAAUGAUCAUCUUGCUACACGUUAUCCACAAGGUCUAAGCUAGCGUUGCAGACACGUUUCUUCCUCCCGAUCUGGUUGGCACACGUUUUUAGGAACCCGAUGAGGUCCUGGGCCUCACAGUCGGGCAUUAGAGCCUCACGGACAAAGUUCCAUACAACUUUCGAUGUUGUGCACGAAAAGAAGAUGUAUGUCCUUUUCUUCGAAACAACACAAAGGAAAAAAAAAACAUCAUAUCCGAGGCCGUGCCACUUGAUCACCUCCAUCCGAGAGCUAUUUUUUCUUUAAUAUUGCAUUUUUUAUUCUUUUUGAAAAAUAAUGCACCGAUUCAAAAAUUUUAAAAAAUAAGCCAGCCUCGGCCACUGCGAAGCCGAUUGGAGGCUGUCGGCUCUGGUGUGGCCGACAGGAAGCCAGUCGGCCUAGGCCCGGCCGAUUAGUGGCUCUCAGCCACGUGGCGGCCGACUAGUGGCCAGGCCACGUCGAUUGCCCUGUCGGCUCUGCCUGUCGGCCCUGGCGAAGCCGAUAAGGCUAUCGGCCUAGGCGUGGCAGACUAGUGGCCACUAGCCAGCCCGAGGCAGCCCCUUCCCCCUCUCAUUCUUCCUCCUUCAUCUUUCUUCCUUCUCCCUUCUCCCAUUCUACCUUAUCUCCUUUCUCUCUUUCUCCUCCUUCCUUCUCCCACCACACAAAAGAUCUUCCAUUUCCACGUUUUGAACCGUACUUUUAUUGUGUAAGGAGGAGGGCAUCCAAACUAUCCGUCUCAUUCGCGAUGGGGUAGUUUGUGGUGCUUGUUUUGAAGCUAAUUUUGGUGGUGGUGGUGGAGGUUGAGGUGGAGAUGUAGUGGUGGUGGUGGUGGUGGUGGUGGUGUGGGUGAAGUUGGUUGUUUUGGUGGAGUUGGAGGUGGUGGUGUGGGAUUAUUCUUGGUGUUCGUCAAGAGUCGUUCGUCGUUCAUCGUUUCUGCGCACGUUUCAAGGGUAAAAUAUUUUUAUAGAUUAGUGUAUUAAGUAGUUUAUAAACUUUUAGGUGCUCCAGUAGAUUAGUAGAAAUUUAGUUGCUUAACUAGUUUUAGGUGGUCCGGUAGAUUAGUAUAAAUUUAGCUGUUUAACUAGUUUUAGGUGCUCCGGUAGAUUAGUAUAAAUUUAGAUGUUUAACUAGUUUUAGGUGGUCCGGUAGAUUAGUAUAAAUUUAGUUUAGUGAAUGAAGUAUUUUAAUGAUUUUUAGGUUCUCCGAUAGAUUUGGAAAAUAUAUUUCGGUUUGUCGUUCUUCUAAUUUUUUUCCUUGUUGAAUAAUAUGUUAGGUCAGCAGAGAUGUCUGAUUUAGUGACGUUAUGUUUGCACUAUGGUCGUGGUACCGUUCAAACAAAUGAGAUGGGAGCUGAUCUUAGUGAAUUUCAGUACACACAGGUGCAGGUGUCCUCCCUUAAAACAUGGUAUGUUAGUCAGUUGACAGAAUGUCUUGCGCGAUGUUUAGGGUUCAAUACUAAAACACACACCGUCGGUGUUCAUGCAUUAUAGACCCGGUCCACUGGUAAUAUUUUCUGGUAUUUGAAGCAUAUAGAGCGGGACGACCAGUGGGUGCGCUUGUUACAAUCUUGCGAGCGUAGGGGAUGUCAUCCUGUGGCCUUACUGCUCCCCGUGCUAAAGCCGGUGACUGAACCUGAAGUGGAACGUAGCUAUGAAUAUGGUGAGAGCAGUGUAGGCAUGCAUGAUUCACAGUCAAUUCAUGCGUCCCAUGCUGGGGAUGAUGUUUACGAAGCAGGCCAAAGUAGUCAGGCAGAAGGGGGACAUGCAGAUGAUUAUCUCAGCGGUGAGGCGGAUGCCGACGAGAUAGAUGGGCACAUGCAAAACGAGAUGCAUGAAGAAGAUAUAGCGGGUGAUAUUUCCGAUGAAUUCGCAAAUCAGAUGAAGAAGAGCACGCACAAGAAGUGUCGAUUCCUGCAUCAUGGAAUCAGGACUUCUCAUCUGCAAUGUUGGUGAACGACGGUCAUGAUUCUGCCUGGCAGUAUCACCAGAACAACAUUGCAACAGGUGCCCUCUACCCGAACAAACAAGCUCUGAAGGAUGCCAUCCUUAAUUGGGCAAUGUCCACUCAAAGGGUAUUUGUAGCUCAAGUUUCUUGUCCGGAUAAGUUGACAAUGGUUUGCAGAAAUCAGGGUUGUCCCGCAAGGGUGCAUGGAUAUCUCCCUAAGUACGACACAAGUUGGGUCAUAAGUGACUUAGUUAGUCAUAAUUGUGUUAUUCCAUGCAUCCCUCAAGAUCAUCCCAACCUUACUUCCACUGUGAUUGCUCGCUUGCUUUACAGCGAGAUUGUGAAGUGCAAGGUGAUGGAAGUGAAGGCUAUCCAGAAAAAAGUCUUCGUCAGGUUAAAGUACAACAUAUCAUAUGGCAAGGCUUGGAGGGCUAAGCAGAAGGCACUGGAGACCAGAUUUGGUUCAUAUUUUGAUGCAUAUGACUCUGUUGUUCGGCUCAUGAGACACUGCAGAACCGGAAUCCUGGCACGUAUGUUGACAUCCAAGAGUUGUACCUGCCAGAGUUCCCAACGGUUAGGGUGUUGCAUCGGUUGUUCUUCUCUUUCGGUGCGUGCAUUGAAGCUUUCAGACAUUGUCGACCGGUGAUAUGUGUUGAUGGCACAUUUCUCACUGGCAAGUACAAGUGUCAGAUCCUCACAGCCAUAGGUCAAGAUGGGCAAAAUCAAGUCGUCCCACUUGCAUUUGCUUUUGUGGAGAGCGAGAACAUCGAGAGUUGGACAUGGUUCUUCAGGCAGUUGAAAAUAGGUGUUGUGCAAGAUAAGCAGAAUGUGUGCAUCCUUCAUGAUAGGCAUGCAGGUAUACUCAGCGCGAUCAAGACAUUGUCAAACCCUACUCCCGGUGAACAAACUCCUUGGUAGGACAUUCAGAGUCGUUGGUGCAUGCGCCAUCUAGGGGCAAAUUUCUUCUCGCGGUUUAGAAAUAAGAAUCUCAUGAAUCUAUUCAAGAAACUCUGCAAGCAGAACCAACAAUGGAAAUAUGAGCUGAUACGUAACAGACUAAAUGGUUGCACACACAGACAUGUUAGGGACAGGAGAGCUGUAAGAGAUGCUGCUGUCAGGGCACAUGUUGAAGCAGUAGCUGCACAAUUAGCAACUGGAUCUGCUACCGUGGAGGAAGAGCCGGUUGGGCUUUGUGACUUGCGAGGAUUUGAUCCUCCUGGUACAAGGAGAAGGCUAGCGAGGACGAUUAAAACCUUUGAUCAGUGGAUAGAGAAUGAGCCAUUGGAGAGGUGGUCUCUGUUGCAUGACACACAUGGAACCAGGUACGGUGUCAUGACUACCAACCUGGCUGAAACAUAUAAUUUUAUCCUCAGAGGAAACAGAGCUUUGCCACUUACAGCGAUCCUUGAGGGCACUUUCUAUGGCACAGUGAAGUAUUUCAGGGAAAGACGUCAAAUUGUUGCGGAGCAUAUGACAAACAAUCCGAACACACGUUACUGUGAAAGGGUUAUGAAGUACAUGGCUGAAAAGAUGAAGAAAGCCCGGUCACACAGUGUUGUCGCCAUUGGAAAUCUAGAGCGAAGGUUCGAGGUUCGCUUAGCUAACAACAAAUUCGGAUGUGCAAAUGAGAUGAGAACACAUGAGGUGAAAAUUGGUAAUGAAUUGUGGCCAACGUGCGAAUGCACAUGCAACAAACCAAAGUUGCUUCACCUACCUUGCUCGCAUGUACUUGCUGCUUGCGGGCUCAUAGGUCUUGACGCAAUCUCUUUUGUGUCUCCAUAUUUUCUCAAAGAGGCUGUCCUCAAUACCUGGACAGGUGAGUUGAUGGGUUUCCGAUCAAUGGGUAACUUCAACACUGUUGAGCCUCCUCAAAGGCGAUACAUUCCACAUCCUGCGCAUAUGCGUACAAGUAGAGGGAGGCGGCAGAGUCAGCGCAUCCGGAAUGACAUGGAUGAAUCUGAGGCUGGCGGGCGCAUCGUGCAAUGCAUUCUAUGUAAUGAAUUUGGGCAUAGGGAUCCUGAUUGUCCCACCUUCGUCACUGCAAGGGGCACUAGGCGUGGACGAGGCAGCCGAGGAAGAAGAGGAGGAAGAGGGAGGGCAAGAGGAGGAGGAAGAGUUUAAAAUUUAUGUAAUAGCACUACAUUUAAGUUUGUACUAGCACUAUGUUUUAACUUUGGAUUAUCACUAUGUUUUAAGUUUGUACUAUCACUAUUUUUGAAGUUUGGACUACCACUAUGUUUUUAGUUUGUAUUAACACUAUGUUUUAAUUUUAUACUAUGUGUUGCACUACGUUUUGUAUUGUAUAGCAAUGGAGGGAAUGUAUCUUCUUAAUCCGGAC